GAUGAACGCUGGCGGCGUGCCUAAUACAUGCAAGUCGGGCGAAUGGAUUGAGAGCUUGCUCUUAUGAAGUUAGCGGCGGACGGGUGAGUAACACGUGGGUAACCUGCCCAUAAGACUGGGAUAACUCCGGGAAACCGGGGCUAAUACCGGAUAACAUUUUGAACCGCAUGGUUCGAAAUUGAAAGGCGGCUUCGGCUGUCACUUAUGGAUGGACCCGCGUCGCAUUAGCUAGUUGGUGAGGUAACGGCUCACCAAGGCAGCGAUGCGUAGCCGACCGGAGAGGGUGAGCGGCCACCCUGGGACUGAGACACGGCCCAGACUCCUACGGGAGGCAGCAGUAGGGAAUCUUCCGCAAUGGACGAAAGUCUGACGGAGCAACGCCGCGUGAGUGAUGAAGGCUUUCGGGUCGUAAAACUCUGUUGUUAGGGAAGAACAAGUGCUAGUUGAAUAAGCUGGCACCUUGACGGUACCUAACCAGAAAGCCACGGCCAACUACGUGCCAGCCGCCGCGGUAA
rnacentral:rRNA from 1 species